CACAACGGCAGCUGCAUGAAACAAGACAAUGAGCUACCAAGGAACCCUCGAUAACUGAUAUGCUAUCGUUAUCUAGUUACGCUAGUAUCUGGCUACUAUUCAACUUAAGCAAACGCAGGAUUCACAUUUCAAGAUAAGUCUAAACAUAAUUAUUUGUGCAGCUUAAUUUGACUCUUAGCUCAUAGCUAGCUGGCCAUAUUAUUGUACUUGUAGCUAGCAAGCUGACGAAGAGAGGAAGAGGCGAAGCGAGAUGUUUCACUCUCACCAAAAUCUGUACACAAUAAGGCCAGAUAUAUUGGGUAAAAUGUGAAGAUCUAUAGGUGCGUUCGUAAAUUCACUCUGGUUUCAGGAGCACUCACUCCGGUUUCAGGAGCACUCGCUUGAGCGCAGAAUAACUAUGACUGAUUAAAUUUACGAACUGCUCAACACCCGUUGAAUAUGGCCAGUGUCAAUAAACGUCGGCAAAAAAAACGUUAUUACCAGCAGCACAUUUACAGUCACUAGACACAGUCACAUUUACAGUCAAUAGCCUAAACAGCUCAGCUGGGGCGAGUAAAAUGGUCAGAGUGAGGGGUUCUCUCAUUUGUGUCGGGAAGUAGCUCGCCAACGUUAGCCAGUUUGCUUGGGUGCUUGACUGCCGUUGAGGCCAGAACUCUUGGAUCAACCCUACUCCUCCGCCAGAGCGUCCAGUGUGGCUCUGAAUUUACGAACGGACAAUCUGACAAUACUCUAAAUUUACGAACGCCCAGAAUUUGCUCUCUGGCACUCGAGAUUUAAUUUACAAACACACCCCUAAACCACAGAUAGAACAAUGAGAGAUAUUUCACCGGAUGUAUACAUGUGAAGCAUCCGCUUGGCUUUACCACUCACUACCAUAUUUGGGCAGAAAGGCAGCCCAGUGGGAGAAGAUGGAUUUUGCCCGACAUUCAGCAGAUUUUCUCAUGGAUGAAACUUUUGAUAUCAAUACAGUUUUCUGUUACUAAAACUAAAUAAUAUGUUAUGAACAGAGUGGACAAAAUGUUGUAUACUUUACUAUUUUCCCAUAUAUUUUUUAAAUCGCGUUGUUUAGAAGGCGUGCAAAGGCAAAUUGAGUCAUUGCACACGCGCACUUCACAUAGUAGGCGUUCUCCAACGGAAAUAUAUAGAUGCAUGCUAGAACGGGCCAAUAGGAUCUCGCUACCUCGUGCUUGGCUCUGCCCCCUCCUUGCUUGUUGUGCCCACUAUGGCGAAUUUGUUCCCAUUGGAAAGGACAGGCUGUGGUCUAUCUUGGAUUACUAUGAAACAUAUCUGCCUAAACCAAAAUUGUUAGAACGGGCCAAUAGGAUCUCGCUACCUCGUGCUUGGCUCGGCCCACCUCCUUGCUUGUUGUGCCCACUAUGACUAAUUUGUUCCCAUUGGAAAGGACAGGCUGUGGUCUAUCUUGGAUUAGUUUGAAACAUAUCUGCCUAAACCAAAAUUGUGCAUAACUAACCCAAGCUUGAAGCCUGCCUUCCGCUUUGGGAUGACUCCCAUUUUUAGGGAGGAGACAUGAGCAUCUCAUUAUAUACGUAUCUCUGGCUAACGUUAGCGAUUUUGUGCAUACCGCGUUUAAGGCUAGAUUAGAUAUAUGUAUUCAUAUUGUUUUUGCAAACGUUCUAAACAGGCAGGCCAUACAGGUGAAAUAAUGUUCAGCAACUUGACUACUACUAUAGUCCUCACCCGGGCAUUUCCGAAAGUGUCAAAAGUACCAAAUGUGUCUGACACAUGGCUAUCUGAAACACAACAGUUCUAUCUUGCAAAAUAUGUCUCACAGGCAAUGCAGCUCCGAGGUAGACUACAAUUGAAGACUAUCAUCUAGGAUGCACCAGCACGUCCUUAUCGAAUUCUUAGGCGCAUAUUGAAGAUGUUAAAAGUAUGGAAGGCCAAGAGUUUCAAAUUGUCCUAUGGGCAUUUUUACACGUGUUCAUUACACCUGUUCAGUGUGCAUUUACAGGUGAUUAGAAUGUUUGAAUAUUGUACUUCCAGACUCAUGAAAUUCUGCCCAUUGCACACUUUCUGAGCGCCUGUGUAGUAACGGGUACAUUUCAUACCUCUGAAAUUACCACAUUGUAGCCUGUCCCAUCUCAAUUUCAGUGAGUUUGACUUCUGGCCUGUUGCGACGAAUCGCUUACUCAGGGAUGGAGAUGUUUCUAAAUAUAGAUCAAAUUGUUAAAAAUAGUCAAGGCAUUGGUGAGAAUUGGAGGAAGAAAUUAAAACAUGAUUUUCCAAAUAGCAUUACAACUACAAAGCUGACGCUGGCUAGCUAGCUUAUUUUCAUUGAAAUAGCAUGGCUAGUUAGCUAACUAGCAAUAGUCUUCUGUCUAGACUGUAACUAAUGGUUGUUACGUUGUGGGACAGAGCAAUAUUUCUUUGUACUUGUCAUCUGGCUGAGACGAACAUUAGUUUAGAAAAUAAUUGUUUUCUUUGUGUAUAUUUGUUGUGUAAUUGGUUGGCUUUGCUAUGUAUCAAGCUGAGAUUUAUUUACUCAAGUUAGCUAACUUAGCUAUUAGCUAAUGUUUUAGGAGAACAUGCUAGCUCCCUGCAGAAUCUAAACAAUAGAGAAUGGGGGAAAAGAUCUGGCUGUUGCAGUGCCCAGACAAGGUGUGAGAGAACUGCUACAGAUAUAAAAAGCCACAACAUGAUGAUCAUGUCGUCAAACAUCUGAAGUCUAGCGAGGAGGAGAAAAGCCUGCUUUGGAUCAGCUGUCAUGUUCGUCAUAUGAAUCGGACCAAGGUGCAGCGUGGAAUCUCCGAAUGCUAUGUUGAAUGAGCACCAUGGAUGAAGGAUGGGAAGGAAAACAGACAGCUUCUUUCUACCACAUCUUCACCAAGUCAUACAAUGUUUGCUUCAUGAACAAUUCUUACAUCUGAAAUAAAUACAGAAUCAUUUUAGUUUAUUCUGUUCCUAAUGCUGGAUGUGAGUAAUUUAGCAGGUCUAUAGUAUGUAUUGUUUUGAAACGUUUAUUUAAUAUCUAUUCAGUCAACUAUUUUAUUUUAUGUUUGCUAAAAGAAUGUAUGUUUUGUACUGUUACUUUUUGCAUGCUGAAACAGUCUCAUUAGUUUUGAGCUAGGCUAUGAUCGGGGAAAUGUCUACUGUAAAUGUUUAUUUCCCUUAAUGAGAACUUGGACAAUGUCAGGAAAUAAGUAGGAUAAAUGGACAUCCUAUCAAUGACAAAAUAAACUGCAGAGGUAGCCUUAAAAGAUAACAUUAGAUCUGUGCAUGUUAUUACUGGACAGACGGCUAGCCAGAGCAGUGACCACAUUUUCACAUGGAUGUAUAUACAAAAUGCAACAUGUAAAGUGUUGGUCUCAUGCGCUGAAAUAAAAGAUCACAGACAUUUUC